rnacentral:rRNA from 1 species
CCCUUAGAUGUCCUGGGCCGCACGCGCGCUACACUGAGUGUCUGAGAUACGAGUCUGCCUGGUCCGGCAAGGUCUAGGUAAUCGCUAAAAGACACAUCAUGCUUGGGAUAGAUUAUUGCAAAUAUUAAGCUUGAACGAGGAAUUCCUAGUAAGCGCAAGUCAACAGCUUGCGUUGAUUACGUCCCUGCCCUUUGUACACACCGCCCGUCGCUACUACUGAUUGGAUGUUUAAGCGAGGUUCUCGAACUGCUAGCGACUUAGCUUCGGUGAGGUCGCAGUGUGGGAAGUGAACCUAGCUUUGGUGUCUAGAGGAAGUAAAAGUCGUAACA